rnacentral:misc_RNA from 1 species
GAAAUGCGAUAAGUAAUGUGAAUUGCAGAAUUCAGUGAAUCAUCGAAUCUUUGAACGCACAUUGCGCCCGCCAGUAUUCUGGCGGGCAUGCCUGUUCGAGCGUCAUUUCAACCAUCAAGCCCCGGCUUGUGUUGGGGACCUGCGGCUGCCCGCAGGCCCUGAAAAACAGUGGCGGGCUCGCUGUCACACCGAGCGUAGUAGCAUACAUUCUCGCUCAGGGCGUGCUGCGGGUUCCGGCCGUUAAACGACCUUCAUAACCCAAGGUUGACCUCGGAUCAGGUAGGAAGACCCGCUGAACUUAAGC